AACCUGCUGGGCCCCCUGAGGAAGUGGGGAGAGCCCCAGCGAAGGUACCAGCCAACAGCCAGCAUUGACCACCAGAUGUGUAAAUGAAUGAACCUUCAGAUGACUCCAGCCCCACUUUGAGUCUUUUGGCUGAGCCCCAGACACCGUGGAGCAGACUAGAUGUCCUCACAAUGCCCUGUGUGAAUUCCUGACCUACGGCAACCAUGACAAAUGAGAGUGACGUCAGCAUCAUGGCGGAGUGAGCUUUCCCGUGAACUCUUCCCCCGACAAGAUACAACAAGAGGGACAGUCACAGACCAACAACGGAAUCCCAGACAGUGAAAAACUGGAGUGGAAAGAUCCACACUGCCGCACAUCUGAGAGCGGAACGUGCUGGGCCCCCGGAGGAAGUGGGGAGAGGUAAGGAGAACUCCUCUCCCUCCCCAUCAGAUCAGCGAUCCCGGUCUGCAUGGCUCCCAGAGAGGGGAGAGGGGCGGCCCUCGGCGGGGAAACCGUAGCUCUUCGACAGUCUCAGCCAGUGGGAAACUCCCGCACA